rnacentral:rRNA from 1 species
UUGAACGCUGGCGGCAGGCCUAACACAUGCAAGUCGAGCGGUUGAGAGUAGCUUGCUACUUGAUGCAGCGGCGGACGGGUGAGUAACGCGUGGGAAUCUGCCCAGUAGUGGGGGACAACAGCCGGAAACGGCUACUAAUACCGCAUACGCCCUACGGGGGAAAGGGGGGGAUCUUCGGACCUCUCGCUAUUGGAUGAGCCCGCGUCGGAUUAGCUAGUUGGUAGGGUAAAGGCCUACCAAGGCUACGACCCGUAACUGGUCUGAGAGGAUGACCAGUCACACGUGAACUGAGACACGGUCCAGCCUCCUACGGGAGGCAGCGGUGGGGAAUGUUGGGAAAUGGGCGAAACCCUGACCCAGCCAUGCCGCGUGUGUGAAGAAGGCCUUAGGGUUGUAAGGCACUUUCAGUGGGGAAAAAGGUUUGUCACCUAAUCCGUGAUGAAAUUGAUGUUACCCAAAGAAGAAGCGCCGGCUAACUGCGUGCCAGCCGCCGCCGUAAGAC